GGUUAAGCGACUAAGCGUACACGGUGGAUGCCCAGGCAGUCAGAGGCGAUGAAGGACGUGCUAAUCUGCGAUAAGCGUCGGUAAGGUGAUAUGAACCGUUAUAACCGGCGAUUUCCGAAUGGGGAAACCCAGUGUGUUUCGACACACUAUCAUUAACUGAAUCCAUAGGUUAAUGAGGCGAACCGGGGGAACUGAAACAUCUAAGUACCCCGAGGAAAAGAAAUCAACCGAGAUUCCCCCAGUAGCGGCGAGCGAACGGGGAGCAGCCCAGAGCCUGAAUCAGUGUGUGUGUUAGUGGAAGCGUCUGGAAAGGCGCGCGAUACAGGGUGACAGCCCCGUACACAAAAAUGCACAUGCUGUGAGCUCGAUGAGUAGGGCGGGACACGUGGUAUCCUGUCUGAAUAUGGGGGGACCAUCCUCCAAGGCUAAAUACUCCUGACUGACCGAUAGUGAACCAGUACCGUGAGGGAAAGGCGAAAAGAACCCCGGCGAGGGGAGUGAAAAAGAACCUGAAACCGUGUACGUACAAGCAGUGGGAGCACGCUUAGGCGUGUGACUGCGUACCUUUUGUAUAAUGGGUCAGCGACUUAUAUUCUGUAGCAAGGUUAACCGAAUAGGGGAGCCGAAGGGAAACCGAGUCUUAACUGGGCGUUAAGUUGCAGGGUAUAGACCCGAAACCCGGUGAUCUAGCCAUGGGCAGGUUGAAGGUUGGGUAACACUAACUGGAGGACCGAACCGACUAAUGUUGAAAAAUUAGCGGAUGACUUGUGGCUGGGGGUGAAAGGCCAAUCAAACCGGGAGAUAGCUGGUUCUCCCCGAAAGCUAUUUAGGUAGCGCCUCGUGAAUUCAUCUCCGGGGGUAGAGCACUGUUUCGGCAAGGGGGUCAUCCCGACUUACCAACCCGAUGCAAACUGCGAAUACCGGAGAAUGUUAUCACGGGAGACACACGGCGGGUGCUAACGUCCGUCGUGAAGAGGGAAACAACCCAGACCGCCAGCUAAGGUCCCAAAGUCAUGGUUAAGUGGGAAACGAUGUGGGAAGGCCCAGACAGCCAGGAUGUUGGCUUAGAAGCAGCCAUCAUUUAAAGAAAGCGUAAUAGCUCACUGGUCGAGUCGGCCUGCGCGGAAGAUGUAACGGGGCUAAACCAUGCACCGAAGCUGCGGCAGCGACACUAUGUGUUGUUGGGUAGGGGAGCGUUCUGUAAGCCUGUGAAGGUGUGCUGUGAGGCAUGCUGGAGGUAUCAGAAGUGCGAAUGCUGACAUAAGUAACGAUAAAGCGGGUGAAAAGCCCGCUCGCCGGAAGACCAAGGGUUCCUGUCCAACGUUAAUCGGGGCAGGGUGAGUCGACCCCUAAGGCGAGGCCGAAAGGCGUAGUCGAUGGGAAACAGGUUAAUAUUCCUGUACUUGGUGUUACUGCGAAGGGGGGACGGAGAAGGCUAUGUUGGCCGGGCGACGGUUGUCCCGGUUUAAGCGUGUAGGCUGGUUUUCCAGGCAAAUCCGGAAAAUCAAGGCUGAGGCGUGAUGACGAGGCACUACGGUGCUGAAGCAACAAAUGCCCUGCUUCCAGGAAAAGCCUCUAAGCAUCAGGUAACAUCAAAUCGUACCCCAAACCGACACAGGUGGUCAGGUAGAGAAUACCAAGGCGCUUGAGAGAACUCGGGUGAAGGAACUAGGCAAAAUGGUGCCGUAACUUCGGGAGAAGGCACGCUGAUAUGUAGGUGAAGUCCCUCGCGGAUGGAGCUGAAAUCAGUCGAAGAUACCAGCUGGCUGCAACUGUUUAUUAAAAACACAGCACUGUGCAAACACGAAAGUGGACGUAUACGGUGUGACGCCUGCCCGGUGCCGGAAGGUUAAUUGAUGGGGUUAGCCGCAAGGCGAAGCUCUUGAUCGAAGCCCCGGUAAACGGCGGCCGUAACUAUAACGGUCCUAAGGUAGCGAAAUUCCUUGUCGGGUAAGUUCCGACCUGCACGAAUGGCGUAAUGAUGGCCAGGCUGUCUCCACCCGAGACUCAGUGAAAUUGAACUCGCUGUGAAGAUGCAGUGUACCCGCGGCAAGACGGAAAGACCCCGUGAACCUUUACUAUAGCUUGACACUGAACAUUGAGCCUUGAUGUGUAGGAUAGGUGGGAGGCUUUGAAGUGUGGACGCCAGUCUGCAUGGAGCCGACCUUGAAAUACCACCCUUUAAUGUUUGAUGUUCUAACGUUGACCCGUAAUCCGGGUUGCGGACAGUGUCUGGUGGGUAGUUUGACUGGGGCGGUCUCCUCCUAAAGAGUAACGGAGGAGCACGAAGGUUGGCUAAUCCUGGUCGGACAUCAGGAGGUUAGUGCAAUGGCAUAAGCCAGCUUGACUGCGAGCGUGACGGCGCGAGCAGGUGCGAAAGCAGGUCAUAGUGAUCCGGUGGUUCUGAAUGGAAGGGCCAUCGCUCAACGGAUAAAAGGUACUCCGGGGAUAACAGGCUGAUACCGCCCAAGAGUUCAUAUCGACGGCGGUGUUUGGCACCUCGAUGUCGGCUCAUCACAUCCUGGGGCUGAAGUAGGUCCCAAGGGUAUGGCUGUUCGCCAUUUAAAGUGGUACGCGAGCUGGGUUUAGAACGUCGUGAGACAGUUCGGUCCCUAUCUGCCGUGGGCGCUGGAGAACUGAGGGGGGCUGCUCCUAGUACGAGAGGACCGGAGUGGACGCAUCACUGGUGUUCGGGUUGUCAUGCCAAUGGCACUGCCCGGUAGCUAAAUGCGGAAGAGAUAAGUGCUGAAAGCAUCUAAGCACGAAACUUGCCCCGAGAUGAGUUCUCCCUGACUCCUUGAGAGUCCUGAAGGAACGUUGAAGACGACGACGUUGAUAGGCCGGGUGUGUAAGCGCAGCGAUGCGUUGAGCUAACCGGUACUAAUGAACCGUGAGGCUUAACCUU
rnacentral:rRNA from 1 species